rnacentral:rRNA from 1 species
UACAGAGGGUGCAAGCGUUAAUCGGAAUUACUGGGCGUAAAGGGUGCGUAGGCGGCGCGGUAAGUCGGGUGUGAAAUCUCGGGGCUUAACUCCGAAACUGCAUUCGAUACUGCCGUGCUUGAGGACUGGAGAGGAGACUGGAAUUUACGGUGUAGCGGUGAAAUGCGUAGAUAUCGUAAGGAAGACCAGUGGCGAAGGCGGGUCUCUGGACAGUUCCUGACGCUGAGGCACGAAGGCCAGGGGAGCAAACGGG